GAAGGAGAGCACGAGCCGGAAAUGGAAAAGCCGGUACAAGCGUAUAGCAGUCAUGCAGGCAAAACCGCAUGAAAAAUGUAAAGCGUUAUGUGGAUCGAACAUUAGUAGAGAAGCGUGUGAGCCAGCUGCCAAGAAAAGCCGCUAUUGUUUCAUAAGUACCCGUACCGUAAACCGACACAGGUGGAUGAGGAGAGAAUCCUAAGGCCGGCGGGAGAAGUGUUGUUAAGGAACUCGGCAAAAUGACUCCGUAACUUCGGGAGAAGGAGUGCCACAGAGAUGUGGCCGCAGAGAAAUGGCCCAAGCAACUGUUUAGCAAAAACACAGGUCUAUGCAAAACCGAAAGGUGAGGUAUAUGGGCUGACGCCUGCCCGGUGCUGGAAGGUUAAGAGGAGAGGUUAGAGCAAUCGAAGCUUUGAAUUUAAGCCCCAGUAAACGGCGGCCGUAACUAUAACGGUCCUAAGGUAGCGAAAUUCCUUGUCGGGUAAGUUCCGACCCGCACGAAAGGCGUAAUGAUUUGGGCACUGUCUCAACAACACACCCGGUGAAAUUGAAAUACCAGUGAAGAUGCUGGUUACCUGCGCCAGGACGGAAAGACCCCAUGGAGCUUUACUCCAGUUUGAUACUGGGAUUCGGUACUGUCUGUACAGGAUAGGUGGGAGGCUAGGAAAUGGUGACGCCAGUUGCCAUGGAGCCAACCUUGGGAUACCACCCUUACAGUACUGGGUUUCUAACCUGCAGCCGUAACCCGGCUGGGGGACAAUGUCUGACGGGGAGUUUGACUGGGGCGGUCGCCUCCGAAAGAGUAUCGGAGGCGCUCAAAGGUUCCCUCAGAACGGUUGGAAACCGUUCGAAGAGUGCAAAGGCAGAAGGGAGCUUGACUGCGACACCGACGGGUGGAGCAGAUACGAAAGUAGGACUUAGUGAUCCGGUGGUAUAAAGUGGGAUUGCCAUCGCUCAACGGAUAAAAGCUACCCCUGGGAUAACAGGCUUAUCACUCCCAAGAGUUCACAUCGACGGAGUGGUUUGGCACCUCGAUGUCGGCUCAUCGCAUCCUGGAGCUGUAGCAGGUUCCAAGGGUUGGGCUGUUCGCCCAUUAAAUCGGUACGCGAGCUGGGUUCAGAACGUCGUGAGACAGUUCGGUCCCUAUCCGGCGUGGGCGUAGGAUAUUUGAGAGGAGCUGUCCUUAGUACGAGAGGACCGGGAUGGACAAACCUCUGGUGUAUCUGUUGUUUUACCAAAGGCAUGGCAGAGUAGCCAAGUUUGGCAGGGAUAAACGCUGAAGGCAUCUAAGCGUGAAGCCCCCCUCAAGAUAAGAUAUCCCAUCUUCGGAGUAAGACCCCUUGAAGACUACAAGGUUGAUAGGCUUCAGGUGUAAGUGUGGUAACGCACUCAGCUGAGAAGUACUAAUAGGUCGAGGACUUAUC
rnacentral:rRNA from 1 species